CCUGUAAAGAAACUAGACUCCAAUAAAAACUGAUUUAAGAAAAGAAAACAACAGCAAACCCACCAUUUCACCCUCUGCAGCUCUGCCUUUGAAGAGUAGGCUUCUUUCUGAUUUCUCCGUACUUUUUCCUGGUCCUUCAGCAUCUCUUUUAAACGUCUAUGUUUUAGCGUCAGCCAGUGAUUUGGGCCGAGAUUACACUCAGCACUUGCAUCUCACUACUUCUGCCAUUCUGUUGUUGCCAGGAAUUCCUCUUUUAAUUUUCACCUGCUUUCCUAGCCCUAUUUUCUGACUUCUGGCACCUUGGGUCACAGAGGAUUUGGGUUUUCACAGUUGCAGCCCUGGGGGCUGUGGAGCAGUUUUGGGUCAGGAAGCCACAAAUUCCCAAUUCUUUUCCUUACAGUUGUGUUUUUUUUUGUUUGUUUGUUUUGUUUUGUUUUGUUUUGUUUUUAAAUUAAACUCUUCUCUGGCUUCUGCUUUUGGAUGCUUUCCAAAGCCUUUAAGGAAUUUUUGUUUUUACUCUGGUUUUUAUAAUAAUCAUCUGCAGGAGGAAUCAUGUGAUAUUCCAUUCCUGCGCUGUUGCUUCUACUUGGAUUUGACUCUAAGAAAAAUGUAGGUGUUCAGGGUGGGGUGAAGUGCCUGUCUACUUCAGACAUCUUGCUGAGCUGAGUCCCUUCUUUGACCUCUGGUCUCAUUUCAUUUCUUUUAGUCUUCUGUUAUACAGCCUGUCCCCAAGUAAUAUGUAAGGAGGUUAGAGCUCUAUAUGCAAUUGAGCUAGAGGAGACAGAGAGGCAGUAGGCAUCAGAAUCCUUCCCUAUAAGGAGAAGUCAGUCUUGCUGGGGAGAUGAGUGGAUGAACCUGCAGGAACUUUCAUAGUCUGAUGCUGAGUAACAUGCUGCCGGCCACUGUGCUACAGUUUAGGUACCAUUUGCUUUGCAAUACAUUGAUUUAGAGAUGUGAGGCUCUAAAUCACGUCACGGAAAACACCUGUCUGCUUUCUUUUGCAAACCCCAGUUUAUUCAACCCUGUCACUCUCCUCUCUCACAUCUAUGAUCGGCAGGUACUGUUUUUGCCUGCCAAAUACCUACCCUACCUUCUGGUCCAACAUGCCAAUUUUUCCUUGGGGAACCAUCUUGGAAUCAACUGCAUAAGCUGUGAUUGAGUGAGGAUGGGCCUAUGUUCAGGCUAAUUAGAAUAUUCCCUCCUCUGACUACAAUCAUUAGUUAAAGAAUGAGAUGUGAUGUGAGUUGGUCCACUGAGAUUCAUUCCCCAGACUUUUGUUAGAAAUUUAGGGAAAAAGAAGUCCUUCAUUUGGAACUGAUGAGAAGAUGGGGUAUAAUCUUUACCAACUUUACAGUAGGGCUUCCCUGGUGGCUCAGAUGGUAAAGAAUCACCUGCCUGUGAUGCAGGAGACCCAGGUUCGAUCUCUGGGUUGGGAAGAUCCCCUAGAGAAGGGCAUGGCAACCCACUCGAGUAUUCUUGCAUGGAGAACCCCAAGGACAGAGGAGCCUGGCGGGCUACAGUCCAUGGGGUAGCAAAGAGUCAAACACAACUGAGUGACUAACACACAUAUACAACACUAUCGUACCAAUAACUGCAGAUAAAACAAAUAAAAAUGUAGAGCUGGCCUUUUGUCCUUUCAAUCCUAUUUCUGGAACUAUGGAAGCUGCCUUGACAUCUCUUGGCAAGAGUCUGUUUCAGAGAAACCAACAAAAGAGAAAUUAGACUCAAGAGAUGAGAUAAGGUAUUCAUUUGGGCUUCUGAAAGCAGAUACACCUGGCAUUUUUACAGCUAAAUUUAUACCUAGACUUUUUAGUUACCUAAGCCCUUAAAUUUCUUUUAUGUUUAUGCCAAUUUGAGUUGCAUUUCUGUCACUUAUAACCCAAGGAGCCCUACCUGAAUAAUAGCAAUUCAUUGUCUCUUCAUCCCCUACAGGAUGAGAUUAGAACUUAUGGGCUUCACCAUUGUUGUAGUGGGUUGAAUAGUGUCCCUUUAAGAUUCAUGUCAGCCUCAGAAUGUGAUCUUAUUUUGAAAUAGGGUCUUUGCAAUAAUUAGAUGAGGGCCCCAAUCCAAUGGCUGCUAUCCUUACAAGAAGAUGUGAGAACACAGACACAGCAUAGAUGAAGAUGGAAGCAGAGGUUAGAGGGAGGCACCUAAAGUCGGGGAAGUGAAUAGCCAGGAGCCAGCAGAAUUUGGAAGAGGCAAGGAUGGAUCCUUCGCUAGACCCUUCACAGGAGCAGGACACUGCCAACACCUGAAUUUCAGUCUUCUGGCCUCCAGACUGUGACAGCAUAAAUUUCUGUUAUUUUAUACCACUCAGUGUGUGGUAAUUUGUUGUGCCAGACCUAGGAAAUUAAUGCAGUGAUCUAACUCCUACUUAUUUUUCCAGCCUCCUUGUAUAGACAACGGGGCAUCGUGGAUAAUAGCACAGACCUUGAAACUGGGCUUUCUGGAUUCAAUUUUGGCUUUUUCACACUAACCUUUCCGAGACUGAGGUGUCUAAGGGAGCUAAUGAUGCACUUCUUAAGGCUGUUGUGAGAAUAAAAUGAGUCUAUGUUUAAAGGCAUCUAAAGCAGUUUUUGGCACAAAUGAUGCAUUCAGUAAAUGAUGGCUGUUGUUAUUAUUAUUGUUGUUAUUGUGUAUUUACCUAACCUUCACCACUGUCUCCUGUUACAUUCACAAAAGUGCUGCCUAUUCAAACAAGAGGAAACUACUUGUACUUUCUCAAAAGAAACUUAGGCCAGGAGAGUUCAAGGAACUUCCGGCUCAUGAUCGACCAGCUCCUGUGUGUCAGAUUUGGAAUUCAAAUCCUGGUUGGCUUGUGUCCAUAUCAGGCGUGCAUGCGUGCGCAUGCUCAGUGGCUUCAGUUGUGUCUGACUCUUUUCAACCCCGUGGACUCUAGCCCACCAGGCUCCUCUGUCUAUGGGAUUCUCCAGGAGAAAAUACUGGAGUGGGUUGCCGUGCCCUUCUCCAGGGGAUCUUCCUGACUCAGGGGCUGAACCCAUGUCUCCUGCUUUGCAGGUGGACUCUUCAUCUGCUAACCCAUGUGGGAAGCCCGCCCAUGUUAGGUCCUAUGGAUCAUUCAGAGCAAAAGUAGUGAGUGGCAUAAAGGACCCCCUUGAUCUCCCUCUCGUUCCCUUUAUCCUGAGCCCUCUCCUCCAGCUCUGUCAACUCUUUGGAUACUGUUUAGUUAUCAGACUGUGCCUUGGGUGAUGGGGCACCCUCUGAAAGGGGCUGUGACUUUUUCUGAGGCCAGCAGGAAUUUUCUUCCUCAAGGUAAUAGGCCCCUCUUCUUGUCUCUAAAACCAUUGAAUAUCUUUGUUUUGGGGGUGGAGGUGGGAACUUAGAAAUCUCAUUACUCCCAUUUGUGAUAUUUGCAAUCAGUAAAGAUAUCCCCUAAAAGCACUUUUUAUAUGCUCAGAAAGAGACAGACUGGGAAGGAAGCCUUGUAAACCUGAAGCAGAUACUCCUGAUAAAAGCCUGCAGGAAACAUGCUCUUAUUUACUUCGAUGUUCUGCAAACUUUGCUAUCGAAACCUUGUAUUGAUUUUGUCUCAGUCUCUGUCAACAUGGGUACCCCUUGGGUCAAUACAUCCUGAUUAUCUAUCUCAGGACAGUUUGGAAUGAAGAAAUGGUUUUCUGAAGUUUUCUUUGUGUUAAGGUAAUUUUUUUGAUAUUCUACUAAAACCCCAGAGAGGCUGCCAGCAUCUCUCUCUCUCUCUUUAUAUUAUACACAUACAUACACACACACACACACACACACCACACGCCACACAGACCACACAGACACACAUAUGCAUGGUCUAUCAAUGCUGAUAUCUACAUUUAUCAAUCCAUAGAUAAGUUUCAGCAUAUUAAUAGAUAUAGAUAUACACACGUGUAACAAAUAUAUAAAUUACAUAAAUAAAAAUUAUAAAAGUAAAUAUAAAUAUUUCUAGAUUGAUGUACCUAAAAUAUUUAAAUAUUUAAGUAUAAUUUAUAUAUAUAUAUAUUAAGCCUCCCAUCUCUCUCAUCCCAGGUGUUUUCCUUCAUGCCUUCCUUCUGCCUGGCUCUCAUCUAUGUCUUUAUUUCUCUUCAUGUGUCUCCAUGGCUUCUUCAGUCCCUUCAGUUCACCCAUUUCUCUUGUCUUCAUUUUUCCAGUUCUGUUUCUGUCCUGUAUCUCUGAAUAAAGCUACCACUGGGGCUUCCCAGGUGGUUCAGUUGUAGAGAAUCUGCCUGCCGAGCAAGAGGCGUGGGUUUGAUCCCUGGGUCAGGAAGAUCUCCUAGAGAAGGGAAUGGCCACCCCCUCUAGUAUUCUUGCCUGGGAAAUCCCAUGGACAGAGGAGUCUGGCGGGCUACGGUCCAGGGGAUUGCAAAAGAGUUGGACACGACUUAGUGACUAAACAAAAACAGAGCUGCCAUUGACUGUCAAGAGAAAAUUAUGUUUUUCCCCUAAGCCCAGGGAGAUUUCUCCAUCCCAUUAGUGUUCCCUCCUUCCUAAGUUGUGUGUGUGUAUCAAGAAGUCAUUUCUAUAUUAAUAUUUUCUCUCCUUUUGCCCAGUGACCAUCCUGUGACAUCAAGUUUUAACCCCAUGAGAUUCUAGAGCAGGGGUAGCAAACAUUGCCUAUAAAGGACCAGAUGAUACUUAUUUUAGACGUUGCCAGUCACAUGGCCUCUGUGACUGUUACCGGUCUCGUCCCUAUUAUGUGCAAGACGAUGUGUAAACAGAGAGUGUGUCUGUGCUCCCAUACAGCUUUAUUUACAAAGACAGAGUAGCUUGCAGCCCCUGCUCUAGAGCCCUCCCCUUGGGAGGUGGGGCAUCUCCCUGUGUGUUUCUGACUUUUCCUUCUCUCACCCUUUUGGUGUGGUUGCCCAUGAUCUUGCAGGAAGAGCAGAGCCAGGAUUUGGACCAACUGCCUGAACCCCAGAACAGAAUGCUGCUGGCCCACUGGUCCCAGAGGAAGAUGCAAGUCAUGUGAAACAGAGCCACCUGGAGCCUGCAAUACAGUCUUUCUGGGCGACCCAUAUAUUCAUAAAUGAAAGGCUCUUGGAAGGAUGAAGAAGGAAACCUCCAGGAACCAUCUUAGCCACUCCAGUCACCACUGUUUUCCUCUGCACUGUGUGCUUAAAGCACUUAGGCUGCUCAGGAUGAUGGAGCAUUUGGUUUUCUGAGCCACUUCCGACCCUCUGUACUGAGACAACUUUCGAUGGACAGCACCACUUCCUGAGUAUCAUCUGGCCUCCUAAUAUCUCAGGUUGUCUCAGCUUUCCUCAGGGAAGGCAGGAGAUGAGAAGGAGCUAGCAGGCGAGUCUUUCUCCCUUCCUUCUCCUGGAUGACUUGCCACAUUUCCCCUGAUGGCUCAUCAUCUGAGCCAUAGGCUAUAUUUUUCCCCAGACUGUUGCCAGCUUAGGUAACAUCACCUCGCAUCUGCUUUCCCUCUUUCUUCUCUUGCUCUUCCUUGUUUUUCUCUUGUGGCCCUAGUCUGCACCUCCCAAGAAAGCCUUCACAAAUAAGCUUUAAUUCAAAGGAUAGAGAAACUGGCAGGCUACCAUCCAUUGGGUGACAGAAGAGUCAGACACGACUCAGUGACUAAACAACAACAAGGUAAGCUUUACUGCAGGCUCUGCUGUCUUGAGAAUCCAGCCUAAGGGACUCCCUCUUCCUACCUACUCUUAACCCCUCUUUUUCUUUCUCUAAUACCCUAUGCUUUUCUCUCACAACUUUUCUCACACAACUGGUAAUCAUAUAUAAUAUAUACAUUAAUGUGAUUAUCUAUAUAACAGCACUUUCUCUCCAUCCCCCAUAAGUUCCAUGAGGCAAAAAUUAUGCAGGGUGUUUUGUUUGUUUGUUUGUUUGUUUUUGGCCCUGUGACUUGCAGGAUCUUAGUUCCUCAAACAGGGAUUGAACCCGGGCCCCAGCAGUGGCAGCACCAACUCCUAACCACUGAACAGGCAGGCAAACAACUGGAGACCCAGAGAAGUUAAGAAACUUGCCUAAGAUCAUACAGUUGGUAAUUGCAAGACUGGGAUUUGAACCCAAACUUAAACUUCAUAGUCCUAGCAAUAAGAAUUAUGCUUUCUUCCCUAUCUGAAAAUAAUAGUGGGGCUUCCUGUUGGCUCAGUGAUAAAGAAUCGGCUUGCCAACGUGCAGGAGACACAGUUCGAUACCCUAUCUGGGAAGAUCCCAUGUGCUGUAGAGCAACUAAGCUGUGCAGCACAACUAUUGAGUCUGUG